CAGUAGCCGCGGUAAAACGGAGGGUGCAAGCGUUAUCCGGAUUUAUUGGGUUUAAAGGGUCCGUAGGCGGAUCUGUAAGUCAGUGGUGAAAUCUCACAGCUUAACUGUGAAACUGCCAUUGAUACUGCAGGUCUUGAGUAAAUUUGAAGUGGCUGGAAUAAGUAGUGUAGCGGUGAAAUGCAUAGAUAUUACUUAGAACACCAAUUGCGAAGGCAGGUCACUAAGAUUUAACUGACGCUGAUGGACGAAAGCGUGGGGAGCGAACAGGAUUAGAUACCCGCGUAGUCCCUGUCUCUUAUAA
rnacentral:rRNA from 1 species